AUUGAACGCUGGCGGCAGGCCUAACACAUGCAAGUCGAGCGGAUGAAGGGAGCUUGCUCCUGGAUUCAGCGGCGGACGGGUGAGUAAUGCCUAGGAAUCUGCCUGGUAGUGGGGGAUAACGUCCGGAAACGGGCGCUAAUACCGCAUACGUCCUGAGGGAGAAAGUGGGGGAUCUUCGGACCUCACGCUAUCAGAUGAGCCUAGGUCGGAUUAGCUAGUUGGUGGGGUAAAGGCCUACCAAGGCGACGAUCCGUAACUGGUCUGAGAGGAUGAUCAGCCACACUGGAACUGAGACACGGUCCAGACUCCUACGGGAGGCAGCAGUGGGGAAUAUUGGACAAUGGGCGAAAGCCUGAUCCAACCAUGCCGCGUGUGUGAAGAAGGUCUUCGGAUUGUAAAGCACUUUAAGUUGGGAGGAAGGGCAGUAAGUUAAUACCUUGCUGUUUUGACGUUACCAACAGAAUAAGCACCGGCUAACUUCGUG
rnacentral:rRNA from 1 species